AAGCGGAGGAAAAGAAACUAACAAGGAUUCCCCUAGUAACGGCGAGUGAAGCGGGAAGAGCUCAAAUUUGAAAUCUAGUAGCCUUCGGCUGCUCGAGUUGUAAUCUAGAGAAGUGUUUUCCGUGCCGGCCCAUGUACAAGUCCCUUGGAACAGGGCGUCAUAGAGGGUGAGAAUCCCGUCCUUGACAUGGACCCCCGGUGCUCUGUGAUACACUUUCAACGAGUCGAGUUGUUUGGGAAUGCAGCUCAAAAUGGGUGGUGAAUUCCAUCUAAAGCUAAAUAUUGGCGAGAGACCGAUAGCGAACAAGUACCGUGAGGGAAAGAUGAAAAGCACUUUGGAAAGAGAGUUAAACAGUACGUGAAAUUGUUGAAAGGGAAACGAUUGAAGUCAGUCAUGCUCUUUGGUAUUUAUAUCAUUGAGUGGGGUCAACAUCAGUUUUGAUCGAUGGAUAAAGGCACUAGGAAGGUAGCACUCUCGGGUGAACUUAUAGCCUAGCGUCAUAUACAUUGAUUGGGACUGAGGAACGCAGCAUGCCUUUAUGGCCGGGAUUCGUCCACGUACAUGCUUAGGAUGUUGACAUAAUGGCUUUAAACGACCCGUCUUGAA
rnacentral:rRNA from 1 species